rnacentral:rRNA from 1 species
GACGUAGGGUGCAAGCGUUAAUCGGAAUUACUGGGCGUAAAGCGUGCGUAGGCGGUUUUGCAAGACAGAUGUGAAAUCCCCGGGCUCAACCUGGGAACUGCAUUUGUGACUGCAUCGCUGGAGUGCGGCAGAGGGGGAUGGAAUUCCGCGUGUAGCAGUGAAAUGCGUAGAUAUGCGGAGGAACACCGAUGGCGAAGGCAAUCCCCUGGACCUGUACUGACGCUCAUGCACGAAAGCGUGGGGAGCAAACAGG